rnacentral:ncRNA from 1 species
UAAUAAGCUAUUAAGGGCUAAUGGUGGAUGCCUAGACUGUAAGAGGCGAUGAAAGACGUAUUAGGCUGCGAUAAGCCUCGGGGAGCUGCCAAAGAGCUUUGAUCCGGGGAUUUCUGAAUGGGGCAACCCAACAUGGUGAGAGCCAUGUUACCCUACGGGGAGCUAACCUGGUGAAGUGAAACAUCUCAGUAGCCAGAGGAAGAGAAAU